UACUCCUACGGGAGGCAGCAGUGGGGAAUAUUGGACAAUGGGCGCAAGCCUGAUCCAGCCAUACCGCGUGGGUGAAGAAGGCCUUCGGGUUGUAAAGCCCUUUUGUUGGGAAAGAAAUCCAGCUGGUUAAUACCCGGUUGGGAUGACGGUACCCGAAGAAUAAGCACCGGCUAACUUCGUGCCAGCAGCCGCGGUAAUACGAAGGGUGCAAGCGUUACUCGGAAUUACUGGGCGUAAAGCGUGCGUAGGUGGUCGUUUAAGUCCGUUGUGAAAGCCCUGGGCUCAACCUGGGAACUGCAGUGGAUACUGGACGACUAGAGUGUGGUAGAGGGUAGCGGAAUUCCUGGUGUAGCAGUGAAAUGCGUAGAGAUCAGGAGGAACAUCCAUGGCGAAGGCAGCUACCUGGACCAACACUGACACUGAGGCACGAAAGCGUGGGGAGCAAACAGGAUUAGAUACCCUGGUAGUCCACGCCCUAAACGAUGCGAACUGGAUGUUGGGUGCAAUUUGGCACGCAGUAUCGAAGCUAACGCGUUAAGUUCGCCGCCUGGGGAGUACGGUCGCAAGACUGAAACUCAAAGGAAUUGACGGA
rnacentral:rRNA from 1 species